rnacentral:rRNA from 1 species
UACGUAGGUGGCGAGCGUUGUCCGGAUUACUGGGCGUAAAGAGCGCGCAGGCGGUCGUGCAAGUCGCGUGUGAAAGCCCCCGGCUCAACUGGGGAGGGUCACGCGAUACUGCUCGACUCGAAGGCAGGAGAGGGAAGUGGAAUUCCGGGUGGAGUGGUGAAAUGCGUAGAGAUCCGGAGGAACACCGAAGGCGAAGGCAGUGUCCUGGCGAGUGACUGACGCUGAGGUGCGAAAGCCAGGGGAGCGAACGGG